GAUGAACGCUGGCGGCGUGCCUAAUACAUGCAAGUCGAGCGAACUGAUUAGAAGCUUGCUUCUAUGACGUGAGCGGCGAACGGGUGAGUAACACGUAGGUGAUCUGCCCAUCAGACGGGGACAACGAUUGGAAACGAUCGCUAAUACCGGAUAGGACGAAAGUUUAAAGGUGCUUCUGGCACCGCUGAUGGAUGAGCCUGCGGCGCAUUAGCUAGUUGGUAGGGUAAAGGCCUACCAAGGCGACGAUGCGUAGCCGACCUGAGAGGGUGAACGGCCACACUGGGACUGAGAUACGGCCCAGACUCCUACGGGAGGCAGCAGUAGGGAAUCUUCGGCAAUGGGCGAAAGCCUGACCGAGCAACGCCGCGUGAAUGAUGAAGGCCUUCGGGUUGUAAAAUUCUGUUAUAAGGGAAGAACGACUUUAGUAGGAAAUGGCUAGAGUGUGACGGUACCUUAUGAGAAAGCCACGGCUAACUACGUGCCAGCAGCCGCGGUAA
rnacentral:rRNA from 1 species